GAUGAACGCUAGCGACAGGCUUAACACAUGCAAGUCGAGGGGCAGCAGGGGAGUAGCAAUACUCCCGCUGGCGACCGGCGCACGGGUGAGUAACACGUAUGCAACCUGCCCUUGUCAGGGGGAUAAGCGGAAGAAAUUCCGUCUAAUACCGCAUAACGCUGCGGGGAGACAUCUCCCUGCAGCCAAAGAUUUAUCGGACAAGGAUGGGCAUGCGGCGCAUUAGCUUGUUGGCGGGGUAACGGCCCACCAAGGCGACGAUGCGUAGGGGUUCUGAGAGGAAGGUCCCCCACACUGGUACUGAGACACGGACCAGACUCCUACGGGAGGCAGCAGUGAGGAAUAUUGGUCAAUGGCCGGGAGGCUGAACCAGCCAAGUCGCGUGAGGGAAGACGGUCCUAUGGAUUGUAAACCUCUUUUGUCAGGGAGCAAAAACUGCCACGCGUGGCAGGAUGAGAGUACCUGAAGAAAAAGCAUCGGCUAACUCCGUGCCAGCAGCCGCGGUAAUACGGAGGAUGCGAGCGUUAUCCGGAUUUAUUGGGUUUAAAGGGUGCGUAGGCGGACAGUUAAGUCAGCGGUAAAAUUGAGAGGCUCAACCUCUUCCCGCCGUUGAAACUGAUUGUCUUGAGUGGGCGGGAAGUAUGCGGAAUGCGUGGUGUAGCGGUGAAAUGCAUAGAUAUCACGCAGAACUCCGAUUGCGAAGGCAGCAUACCGGCGCCCAACUGACGCUGAAGCACGAAAGCGUGGGUAUCGAACAGGAUUAGAUACCCUGGUAGUCCACGCAGUAAACGAUGAAUACUAAUUGUUCGGGUCGAGUGAGAUCUGAGUGAUACAGCGAAAGCGUUAAGUAUUCCACCUGGGGAGUACGCCGGCAACGGUGAAACUCAAAGGAAUUGACGGGGGCCCGCACAAGCGGAGGAACAUGUGGUUUAAUUCGAUGAUACGCGAGGAACCUUACCCGGGCUCAAACGACACAGGAAUGAUCUGAGAAAUCAGGCAGUCCUUCGGGACCUGUGUCGAGGUGCUGCAUGGUUGUCGUCAGCUCGUGCCGUGAGGUGUCGGCUUAAGUGCCAUAACGAGCGCAACCCCCAUCGACAGUUGCCAGCAGGUCAAGCUGGGCACUCUGUCGAGACUGCCGGCGCAAGCUGUGAGGAAGGCGGGGAUGACGUCAAAUCAGCACGGCCCUUACGUCCGGGGCGACACACGUGUUACAAUGGCAGGUACAGCGGGAAGCCACCUGGCGACAGGGAGCGGAACCCGAAAGCCUGUCUCAGUUCGGAUUGGAGUCUGCAACUCGACUCCAUGAAGCUGGAUUCGCUAGUAAUCGCGCAUCAGCCACGGCGCGGUGAAUACGUUCCCGGGCCU
rnacentral:rRNA from 1 species